UACGUAGGGUGCGAGCGUUGUCCGGAAUUACUGGGCGUAAAGAGCUCGUAGGUGGUUUGUCGCGUUGUUCGUGAAAACUCACAGCUUAACUGUGGGCGUGCGGGCGAUACGGGCAGACUGGAGUACUGCAGGGGAGACUGGAAUUCCUGGUGUAGCGGUGGAAUGCGCAGAUAUCAGGAGGAACACCGGUGGCGAAGGCGGUUCUCUGGGAAUGUCCUGACGCUGAGGAGCGAAAGUGUGGGGAGCGAACAGG
rnacentral:rRNA from 1 species